UAUGUCUUUUGGCAGUAGUUGCUUAAACUUGAGCCUUUGGUUUCUAUGUUUGGUAUGGAAUAUUGCUUGGCUUGUAUGUGUGGUCUCUACUCUUUUGCAGAUUACUUGAGGUGUCACACUCAGAGAAAAAGGGGGUGAUUGAAGAAACAGAGUGUCUGAAGUUCUACAAGCGUGUCUGAAACAACGCAGAGCAGAACAGAGGAACAGAGGAAGCGGGAAAGUAGCAGUUGCUUUUGCGAGCGUGGCAUGUUGAUUGGAGUGAAGGAAAGGCGUAUCACUUUAGACAAAGGAGACAAAUGCGUCAGACAUAGGACGUGUGCCUAGUGUCAAGAUAAUGAUGAGGAGCUACACUUGAACCUGCUGGAUAAAGUAGAGCAUCCUGUCUUUUCCGAGAAACUACAUAAGAGAAGUUUUGGUCUCUUAUUAGGGUUAGCCACUUUACUUGAGAAAAGUGGAAGAGAAGAAAAGUUAAGUAGAACUUGUUCUUGUGGAUUUCAUUGGUGAGUGAACAAAGAGAGCACACGGCUGUUGCUGUGUUUGUGAGCUGGGUAGUUUUUAGGUUCUGACAGUAGCAAAUCAGGUUGUUGAUGUUGCAUAAUACUGUCCAAACUUAUCUGUGAUUGAUCAGUUUGUUCUAAUAAAAUAU
rnacentral:sRNA from 1 species